rnacentral:tRNA from 1 species
GGAAAGGUGGGUGAGUGGUUAAAGCCAACAGACUGUAAAUCUGUCCUCUUAUGAGUUCGCUGGUUCGAAUCCAGCCCUUUCCACCA